rnacentral:rRNA from 1 species
UGAGGAAUAUUGGUCAAUGGACGCAAGUCUGAACCAGCCAUGUCGCGUGCAGGAUGACGGCCCUAUGGGUUGUAAACUGCUUUUGUACGGGAAGAAAAGAGGGUAUGUAUACUCUUUUGCCGGUACUGUACGAAUAAGCAUCGGCUAACUCCGUGCCAGCAGCCGCGGUAAUACGGAGGAUGCGAGCGUUAUCCGGAUUUAUUGGGUUUAAAGGGUGCGUAGGCGGAAUGGUAAGUCAGUGGUGAAAUGG